rnacentral:sRNA from 1 species
AGUGCAGUGCUGAAGCUAAACUGGACAAGACGCUUCUCGUUUUUGCUCCGUUUCUGGCGCCAUUCCUGGGCCUGCGGGCCGCAGACCUCCGAAGAAAAUACACAGACAAGAUGCCCUCACAACGCUACCUCUGGAUGCCCAGAAGAUCUCUGGAUGAUCCCAAAGGCCGUGCCUGGUGGAUGGCGGCGGAUGGUCGCGGAUGGUGGCGGAUGGCAGCGGAUGGCGCUCUGAUGGCCCAAAGGCCCGAAGAUGUGGCACGAACCGUAGAAGCCUCACGCGGUGGUUGCAGAGGCAACGGCUGCAGCCUCUAUAGCGGCGGCGGCGGCGAACCUUCCGAUGAACCUAUGGCUACCCCGCAGUAGCGGCGGCGGCUAUCGGGGGUUCUCCCGCUCCUGCCAGCAGUAGAAGCCAUCCGGUCUGACUGACAGUGACUGUAGGAGCCGCUCUGCAUCAGAAAAUGACAGGGACCAUCCGAGAGGCACCUGAAUACAGAGAGAAAACUCUUAGCAUUCUAAAUGAACCUCUAUUGGAGGCUUUGAGGAGGCCAUGUCUAGUCAUGUAAGAUGAGAGGGAAACCUGGCUCUUUGAGAGAAAGAUGGAUGACAUCCUAGAGGAACUGCCAUCCUGAAAGGUUAAACACUGCACAAGAAGCCUGGAGAGAGGAGCUAUCUCUUACAUGUCUAGAGGUUGGAAGACCUGAACCUGGAGACUCAAGUAGUGCCACUGCCAGGAAAGGCAAGCAGUCCUUCUUGUACUUCCUUGCCACUUGCUACAGAACUUUCCACUGGGAGCCAUCAAAAGUCAGUACCCACUGGAAGCCAAUGAGUAACCCUUUUUUAAAAAUUCCAUCCUGCUACCUUGAGCCAAAGGACCCAAGCCUCCCACCGGGAAGCAUAGGACCCAAACUCCCACUGGGGGGCAAGAGACCCAAGCUUCCACCGGGAGCAAAGGGACCCAAGCUUCAACUGGGAGCUAAGUGACCCAUGCCUCCCACCGGGAGCCAAGGGACCCAUAUGCCUUCCAUUUCGGGGGCAAAGGGAACCACGUCUCCCACCAGGGUGCAGGGGUUCCAAGUAUCCCACUGAGAGCUAAAGGACCCAUGCCUCCCACUGGUUGCCAAGGGACCCAAGCCUCCCACCAGGAGAUGGGACCCAAGCCUCCCACCCGGAGCUCUGGGACCCAAACCUCAGGCCUCCCACCAAGAGCCAGGACCCAAGCCCUCCACUGGAAACCCAAGGUACAUGUGCCUUAAGCCUCCCACCUAGUGCCAGUAUUGAAGUCUCAGGCUUCUGAUUAUGAGCCAAAAGGACCCGAAGACUAAGCCCUCAACCUUCCUUGGAGGCAGGAACCAAGCCUCAAACCUUCCACUGGGAGCUAAGGAACCCAAUCCUCAGGAUUUUUACCUGGAGCUAAGAGACCCUUUGGCCAGGAGCGAAAGUCUAUAACUUCCUACUGGGAGUGAGGACCUAAGCCUCAAUCUUCCUACUGGAAUCUACCACCAGAUGCUAAUGGACUUAAUCCUGCCACCAGUAGUCAAGGAACCCACAUCUCAGUUCUUUCAUCAGCAGCUAAGGACCCAAGCCUAAAUCCUUCUACCAGGAUUAACCAGGACCCAAAAAUCUAAGCCUUCCCCUGGGAUCCAGGCCUGUAGCCUCAAGCUUCCCAUCUGGAGCAUGGAGCUAGGACCCAAUGAUCCAAUCCUCACAAAGAGAUCUGGGAGCCAGGACCCAAGCCUCAAGUCUCCCAUCAGAAGCCAGGAGAACCAAUCCUCCAUCCAAGGACUGAAGCCUCCUCCUGGGAUUCAGAACCCAACCCAACUCUCAUAAUGAGUUAAGGAACCCAAAGCCUCAAUCCUUUCACUUCAGGGAUGAAACCCAAGCCUUCCACAGGGAUCCAGGGGACCCAAACUCCCAUUAAGUCCUAGGUUUCAACUCUUAUACUACUUAAGCCAGGACCUAACCCAACUAUUGGCAAUCAACACCCAAGGACCUAAAACUCUUACAUGGAGCCAAGAGGCAAGGCCCUAAGCCUCCCAUUUGGAAUCAGGACUCAAGGACUUAAGCCUCCCACUUAGAGCUAGAACCAAAGUUCCCAAGGAGCCAAGCCUCCCACUUGGAUCUAGGACCCAAGGAAAUAAGCACCAAAGCCUCCCACCCAAGCCUCCUAUCUGAAACUCAGGACCCAAGGACUCAAGCCUCCCACAUUAGCCAAGGAUGAAGGACCAAAGCAUUCCACCAGGAGACGGGAAGAAAGGACUUGAGAAGCUAAGCCCACAUGGAGCCCAGGACUGAAGGACUGAAGCCUCGCCCCUGAAACCCAGGACCCAAGGACCCCCAUCCAUGCCUCCCACCUGGAACCAGGAACACAGGACCCAGGCCUCCCACCUGGAACUGAGGACCCAAGGAACCAAGGACUGAAGCCUCUCCUACCUUAGAGCCUUGACCGAAGGACUCAAGCCUCCUACCUGGAGCCAGGAAGAAAGGAGCCAAGAAUCAAGCCUCCCAUCUAGAACCUGGACCCAUGAACAAAGAACACAGUCCUCCCACUUUUGGAGACCAGGAUCCAAGGACUGAAGUCUAGAGUCAGAAACAAAGGAACCAAGAAGCCGGGGACCCAAGGAACCUGGGACUUAAGACUCCCACCUGAAGCCAGGAAGAAGGGACCCCAAGACACCCACCUAGAACCAGGAAGAAGGGAUGCAAGACACCUAUCUGGAACCAGGAAGAAGGGAUGCAAGCCACCUACCUGGAACCAGGAAGAAGGGACGCAAGACUCCCACCUGGAACCAGGAAGAAGGGACCAAAGACUCCCACCUGGAGCCAGGAGGAAGUGGAAGUGACCCAGGCCUCCCACCGGGAGCCAGGAAAAAGUGACCCAGGCCUCCCAUCUGGAACUAGGAAGAAGUGACCCAAGCCUCCCACUUUGAAGCCAGGAAAAAGUGACCCAGGCCUCCCACAUGGAGCGAGGAAAAAGUGACCCAGGCCUCCCACCUGGAGCCAUGAAGAAGGAACACAGGCCUCCCACCUGGAGCCAUGAAGAAGGAACACAGGCCUCCCACCUGGAGCCAGGAAAAAGGGACCAGAAGACCCAAGACUCCCAACUGGAGGCGGGAAGAAGGGACCGGAAGAUCUAAGACUCCCCCCGGGAGCCAGGAGGAAGGGACCAAAAAAUCCAAGACUCCCAAUUGGAGCCAGGAGGAAGGGACCAGAAGAUCCAAGACUCCCAACUGGAGAGAGGAAGAGUGACCCAGGCCGCCUACCUGGAGCCAGGAGGAAAGGACCCAAGGACCUAGUUCUCCCAGCUGAUGCCAGGAAGAAGGGACCCAGGCCUCCCAGCUGAUGCCAGGAAGAAGGGACCCAGGCCUCCCAGCUGAUGCCAGGAAGAAGGGACCCAGGCCUCCCAGCUGAUGCCAGGAAGAAGGGACCCAGGCCUCCCAGCUGAUGCCAGGAAGAAGGGACCCAGGCCUCCCAGCUGAUGCCAGGAAGAAGGGACCCAGGCCUCCCAGCUGAUGCCAGGAAGAAGGGACCCAGGCCUCCCAGCUGAUGCCAGGAAGAAGGGACCCAGGCCUCCCAGCUGAUGCCAGGAAGAAGGGACCCAGGCCUCCCAGCUGAUGCCAGGAGCAAAGGACCCGAGGAGUCAGGAGCAAAGGACCCGAGGAGUCAGGAGCAAAGGACCCGAGGAGUCAGGAGCAAAGGACCCGAGGAGUCAGGAGCAAAGGACCCGAGGAGUCAGGAGCAAAGGACCCGAGGAGUCAGGAGCAAAGGACCCGAGGAGCCAGUUCUCCCACCUGGAGCCAGGAAGUGACCCAGGCCUCUCACCUGGAGCCAAGAAGUGACCCAGGCCUCUCACCUGGAGCCAAGAAGUGACCCAGGCCUCUCACCUGGAGCCAAGAAGUGACCCAGGCCUCUCACCUGGAGCCAAGAAGUGACCCAGGCCUCUCACCUGGAGCCAAGAAGUGACCCAGGCCUCUCACCUGAUGCCAGGAGGAAGGGACCCAAAGGCCCAAGACUCACACCUGGAGCCAGGAAGAAGCGACCCAGGCAUCUCGGAGCCAGGAAGAAGCGACCCAGGCAUCUCGGAGCCAGGAAGAAGCAACCCAGGCAUCUCGGAGCCAGGAAGAAGCGACCCAGGCCUUCCCCGCUGAUGCCAGGAAGAGGCGACCCAGGCCUUCCCCGCUGAUGGCAGGAAGAGGGGACCCAGGCCAUCCCAGCUGAUGGCAGGAAGAGGGGACCCAGGCCAUCCCAGCUGAUGGCAGGAAGAGGGGACCCAGGCCAUCCCAGCUGAUGGCAGGAAGAGGGGACCCAGGCCAUCCCAGCUGAUGGCAGGAAGAGGGGACCCAGGCCAUCCCAGCUGAUGGCAGGAAGAGGGGACCCAGGCCAUCCCAGCUGAUGGCAGGAAGAGGGGACCCAGGCCAUCCCAGCUGAUGGCAGGAAGAGGGGACCCAGGCCAUCCCAGCUGAUGGCAGGAAGAGGGGACCCAGGCCAUCCCAGCUGAUGGCAGGAAGAGGGGACCCAGGCCAUCCCAGCUGAUGGCAGGAAGAGGGGACCCAGGCCAUCCCAGCUGUUGCCAGGAAGAGGGGACCCAGGCCAUCCCAGCUGUUGCCAGGAAGAGGGGACCCAGGCCUUCCCAGCUUAUGCCAGGAAGAAAGGACCUGAGGAGCCAGGAAAAAGUGACCAGAAGACGCAAGACUCCCACUUGGGGACAGGAAGAAGUAACCCAGGCCUCUCACCUGAUGCCAGGAGAAAGGGACCCAAAGACCCAAGACUCCCACUUGGAGCCAGGAAGAAAGGACCCAAAGACCCAAGACACCCACUUGGAGCCAGGAAGAAGUGACCCAGGCCUCUCGCCUGAUGCCAGAAAAUGACCCGGGCCUCUCACCUGAUGCCGGGAGAAAGGGACCCAAAGACCCAAGACUCCCACCUGGAAUACGGAAGAAGUGACCCAGGCCUCUCAGCCAGGAAGAAAGUACGCAAAGACCCAAGACUUCUACCUGGAGCCAGGAAGAAGGGACCCAGGCCUCCCAGCAGAUGCCAGGAAGAAGGGACCCAGGCCUCCCAGCAGAUGCCAGGAAGAAGGGACCCAGGCCUCCCAGCAGAUGCCAGGAAGAAGGGGCCCAGGCCUCCCAGCAGAUGCCAGGAAGAAGGGACCCAGGCCUCCCAGAAGAUGCCAGAAAGAAAGGACCUGAGGAGCCAGGAAAAGGUGACCAGAAGACUCAAGACUCCCACUUGGGGACAGGAAGAAGUGACCCAGGCCUCUCACCUGAUGCCAGGAGAAAGUGACCCAAAGACCCAAGACUCCCACUUGGAGCCAGGAAGAAAGGACUCAAAGACCAAAGACUCCCACCUGGAAUACGGAAGAAGUGACCCAGGCCUCUCAGCCAGGAAGAAAGUACGCAAAGACCCAAGACUUCCACCUGGAGCCAGGAAGAAGGGACCCAGGCCUCCCAGCAGAUGCCAGGAAGAAGGGACCCGGGCCUCCCAGCAGAUGCCAGGAAGAAGGGACCCGGGUCUCCCAGCAGAUGCCAGGAAGAAGGGACCCAGGCCUCCCAGCUGAUGCCAGGAAGAAGGGACCCAGGCCUCCCAGCUGAUGCCAGGAGCAAAGGACCCGAGGAGUCAGGAGCAAAGGACCCGAGGAGUCAGGAGCAAAGGACCCGAGGAGUCAGGAGCAAAGGACCCGAGGAGUCAGGAGCAAAGGACCCGAGGAGUCAGGAGCAAAGGACCCGAGGAGUCAGGAGCAAAGGACCCGAGGAGCCAGUUCUCCCACCUGGAGCCAGGAAGUGACCCAGGCCUCUCACCUGGAGCCAAGAAGUGACCCAGGCCUCUCACCUGGAGCCAAGAAGUGACCCAGGCCUCUCACCUGGAGCCAAGAAGUGACCCAGGCCUCUCACCUGGAGCCAAGAAGUGACCCAGGCCUCUCACCUGGAGCCAAGAAGUGACCCAGGCCUCUCACCUGAUGCCAGGAGGAAGGGACCCAAAGGCCCAAGACUCACACCUGGAGCCAGGAAGAAGCGACCCAGGCAUCUCGGAGCCAGGAAGAAGCGACCCAGGCAUCUCGGAGCCAGGAAGAAGCAACCCAGGCAUCUCGGAGCCAGGAAGAAGCGACCCAGGCCUUCCCCGCUGAUGCCAGGAAGAGGCGACCCAGGCCUUCCCCGCUGAUGGCAGGAAGAGGGGACCCAGGCCAUCCCAGCUGAUGGCAGGAAGAGGGGACCCAGGCCAUCCCAGCUGAUGGCAGGAAGAGGGGACCCAGGCCAUCCCAGCUGAUGGCAGGAAGAGGGGACCCAGGCCAUCCCAGCUGAUGGCAGGAAGAGGGGACCCAGGCCAUCCCAGCUGAUGGCAGGAAGAGGGGACCCAGGCCAUCCCAGCUGAUGGCAGGAAGAGGGGACCCAGGCCAUCCCAGCUGAUGGCAGGAAGAGGGGACCCAGGCCAUCCCAGCUGAUGGCAGGAAGAGGGGACCCAGGCCAUCCCAGCUGAUGGCAGGAAGAGGGGACCCAGGCCAUCCCAGCUGAUGGCAGGAAGAGGGGACCCAGGCCAUCCCAGCUGAUGGCAGGAAGAGGGGACCCAGGCCAUCCCAGCUGAUGGCAGGAAGAGGGGACCCAGGCCAUCCCAGCUGAUGGCAGGAAGAGGGGACCCAGGCCAUCCCAGCUGAUGGCAGGAAGAGGGGACCCAGGCCAUCCCAGCUGUUGCCAGGAAGAGGGGACCCAGGCCAUCCCAGCUGUUGCCAGGAAGAGGGGACCCAGGCCUUCCCAGCUUAUGCCAGGAAGAAAGGACCUGAGGAGCCAGGAAAAAGUGACCAGAAGACGCAAGACUCCCACUUGGGGACAGGAAGAAGUAACCCAGGCCUCUCACCUGAUGCCAGGAGAAAGGGACCCAAAGACCCAAGACUCCCACUUGGAGCCAGGAAGAAAGGACCCAAAGACCCAAGACACCCACUCGGAGCCAGGAAGAAGUGACCCAGGCCUCUCGCCUGAUGCCAGAAAAUGACCCGGGCCUCUCACCUGAUGCCGGGAGAAAGGGACCCAAAGACCCAAGACUCCCACCUGGAAUACGGAAGAAGUGACCCAGGCCUCUCAGCCAGGAAGAAAGUACGCAAAGACCCAAGACUUCUACCUGGAGCCAGGAAGAAGGGACCCAGGCCUCCCAGCAGAUGCCAGGAAGAAGGGACCCAGGCCUCCCAGCAGAUGCCAGGAAGAAGGGACCCAGGCCUCCCAGCAGAUGCCAGGAAGAAGGGGCCCAGGCCUCCCAGCAGAUGCCAGGAAGAAGGGACCCAGGCCUCCCAGAAGAUGCCAGAAAGAAAGGACCUGAGGAGCCAGGAAAAGGUGACCAGAAGACUCAAGACUCCCACUUGGGGACAGGAAGAAGUGACCCAGGCCUCUCACCUGAUGCCAGGAGAAAGUGACCCAAAGACCCAAGACUCCCACUUGGAGCCGGGAAGAAAGGACUCAAAGACCAAAGACUCCCAUCUUGGAAUACGGAAGAAGUGACUCAGGCCUCUCAGCCAGGAAGAAAGUACGCAAAGACCCCGAUUUCCACCUGGAGCCAGGAAGAAGGGACCCAGGCCUCCCAGCAGAUGCCAGGAAGAAGGGACCCGGGCCUCCCAGCAGAUGCCAGGAAGAAGGGACCCGGGUCUCCCAGCAGAUGCCAGGAAGAAGGGACCCGGGCCUCCCAGCAGAUGCCAGGAAGAAUGGACCCGGGCCUCCCAGCAGAUGGCAGGAAGAAGGGACCCAGGCCUCCCAGCAGAUGGCAGGAAGAAGGGACCCAGGCCUCCCAGCAGAUGGCAGGAAGAAGGGACCCAGGCCUCCCAGCAGAUGGCAGGAAGAAGAGACCCAGGCCUCCCAGCUGAUGCCAGGAAGAAGGGACCCAAGGAGCCAGGAAAAAGUGACCAGAAGACCCAAGACUCCCACUUGGGGCCAGGAAUAAGUGACCCAGGCCUCUCGCCUGAUGCCAGGAAGUGACCCAGGCCUCUCGCCUGAUGCCAGGACAAAGGGACCCAAAGACCCAAGACUCCCACCUGGAGUCCGGAAGAAGUGACCCAGGCCUCUCAGCCAGGUAGAAAGUACGCAAAGACCCAAGACUUCCACCUGGAGCCAGGAAGAAGGGACCCAGGCCUCCCAGCAGAUGCCAGGAAAGAAGGGACCCAGGCCUCCCAGCAGAUGCCAGGAAAGAAGGGACCCAGGCCUCCCAGCUGAUGCCAGGAAAGAAGGGACCCAAGGAGCCAGGAAAAAGUGACCGGAAGACCCAAGACUCCCACCUGAGGUCAGGAAGAAGUGACCCAGGCCUCCCACCAGGAGCCAGGAGCAAAGGACCCGAGGAGACAGUUCUCCCACCUGGAGCCAGGAGGAAGGGACCCAAAGACCCAAGACUCCCACCUAGACCCAGGAAGAAGCCUCCCACCUGGAGCCAAGAGGAAAGGACUGGAGGAGCCAAGAGGAAAGGACUCAAGGACCUAGUUCUUCCACCUGGAGCCAGGAAGAAGGGACCCAGGCCUCCCAGCAGAUGCCAGCAGGAAAGGACCGAGGAGCCAGCAGCUAGGAAAAAGUGACCGGAAGACCCAAGACUCCCAGCUGAUGUGAGGAAGAAGUGACUCAGAAGAAGUCUCCCACCUGGAGCCCGGAGCAAAGAACUGGAGGAGCCUGAAGCAAAGGACCCGAGGAGCCAGGAAAAAGUGACCAGAGGACCGAAGACUCUUACUUAAGGCUAGGAAGAAGUGACCCAGGCGUCCCACCAGGAGCCAGGAGCAAAGGACCCGAGGAGACAGUUCUCCCACCUGGAGCCAGGAAGAAGUGACCCAGGCCUCUCACCUGAUGCCAGGAGGAAGGGACCCAAAGACUCAAGACUCCCAACUGGAGCCAGGAGGAAGGGACCCAAAGACCCAAGACUCCCACCUAGAGCCAGGAAGAAGGGACCCAGGCGUGUCGGAGCCAGGAAGAAGGGACCCAGGCGUGUCGGAGCCAGGAAGAAGGGACCCAGGCGUGUCGGAGCCAGGAAGAAGGGACCCAGGCGUGUCGGAGCCAGGAAGAAGGGACCCAGGCGUGUCGGAGCCAGGAAGAAGGGACCCCGGCGUGUCGGAGCCAGGAAGAAGGGACCCCGGCGUGUCGGAGCCAGGAAGAAGGGACCCAGGCGUGUCGGGGCCAGGAAGAAGGGACCCCGGCCUGUCGGAGCCAGGAAGAAGGGACCCCGGCAUGUCGGANCCAGGAAGAAGGGACCCCGGCGUGUCGGAACCAGGAANAAGGGACCCCGGCCUGUCCGAACCCAGAAAAAAGGGACCCCGGCCUGUNCGAACCCAGAAAAAAGGGACCCCGGCCUGUNCGAACCCAGAAAAAAGGGACCCCGGCCUGNNCGGAACCCCGGAAAAAAGGGACCCCCGGCCUGNNNCNGCCCCCGGAAAAAAGGGAACCCCGGGCCUGNNCGGGCCCCCGGAAAAAAAGGGACCCCCNNNNNNNNNNNNNNNNNNNNNNNNNNNNNNNNNNNNNNNNNNNNNNNNNNNNNNNNNNNNNNNNNNNNNNNNNNNNNNNNNNNNNNNNNNNNNNNNNNNNGAAGGGAUUCGGGCCUNCCACCUGAUGGCAGGAAGAAGGGAUUCGGNCCNUNCCNCCUGAUGCCAGGAAGAAGGGACUCGGGCCUCCCACCUGAUGCCAGGAAGAAGGGACUCGGGCCUCCCACCUGAUGCCAGGAAGAAGGGACUCGGGCCUCCCACCUGAUGUCAGGAAGAAGGAACUCGGACCUCCCACCUGAUGCCAGGAAGAAGGGACCCAGGCGUGUCGGAGCCAGGAAGAAGGGACCCAGGCGUGUCGGAGCCAGGAAGAAGGGACCCAGGCGUGUCGGAGCCAGGAAGAAGGGACCCAGGCGUGUCGGAGCCAGGAAGAAGGGACCCAGGCCUCUCACCUGAUGGCAGGAAGAAGGGGCCCAGGCCUCUCACCUGAUGGCAGGAAGAAGGGACUCAGGCCUCCCACCUGAUGGCAGGAAGAAGGGACUCAGGCCUCCCACCUGAUGGCAGGAAGAAGGGACCCAGGCCUCCCACCUGAUGGCAGGAAGAAGGGACCCAGGCCUCUCGGAGCCAGGAAGUAGGGACCCGGGCCUCUCACCUGAUGGCAGGAAGAAGGGACCCAGGCCUCUCACCUGAUGGCAGGAAGAAGAGACUCAGGCCUGUCGGAGCCAGGAAGAGGGGACCCAGGCCUGUCGGAGCCAGGAAGAAGGGACCCAGGCCUGUCGGAGCCAGGAAGAAGGGGCCCAGGCCUGUUGGAGCCAGGAAGAUGGGACCCAGGCCUGUCGGAGCCAGGAAGAAGGGACCCAGGCCUGUCGGAGCCAGGAAGAAGGGACCCAGGCCUGUCGGAGCCAGGAAGAAGGGACCCAGGCCUGUCGGAGCCAGGAAGAAGGGACCCAGGAGUCCCACCAAGGGCCAGGAAGAAGGAACCCUGGCCUCCCAUCAGCCAGGAAGAAGGAACCCUGGCCUCCCAUCAGCCAGGAAGAAGGAACCCUGGCCUCCCAUCAGCCAGGAAGAAGGAACCCUGGCCUCCCAUCAGUCAGGAAGAAGGAACCCUGGCCUCCCAUCAGCCAGGAAGAGGUGACCUGAGGAUGCAGGCCUUCCACCUAGAGACAGGAAGAAGGAAUGUCCUUCUAGGAGUCCAGUCAGCAGCUGAAAGUAACUGUCUGAGAAUCAGAAGCAGGAAUCUCCAAGCCUUCCUCUGUGAGUAAGGUUCAGCAAAAACUCAACUUGGAAUCAAUAGACGAGCAUUCCUUGGUAAAACACACCUUCCACUGAGUCAAGAGGCAAACCUUUUCUAGGAGUUUUGGAAGUGCAGGCCUAGGAUUAUCAAAUAUUCCAGUUGGAGUUCGAAUCAGCAAGCAUUCUCACUGGAGACAAGAGACACAUGUUCUACUUGAAGUCAGGAAACCAGGCUUCUACUGGCAUUCAGAAUCAGGAAAUGUCAAGAUCACAAGCAUUGCCUCUGGAAUUUGAGAUGAAACUUCUACUGGGAGCCAUGAGUAAUUGGCUCUUCUUGGCCCUGGAUGCUCAAUUUCUAAACAGAAAAAAGUAAGUGCCUGAGAAAUGAAAUACUACAUCUUUUAGCUGCAGUGGAAAGCAUUUCACUUUAUUUCCGAAGAACCUUGUUGCCUGAAGAUGUUUCUGUUGAAACAAGCACUUUCCCUUGGAGCUCAGCAACAAGUAUUCCCAGGUAUGGAGUCAAGAGAAACAAACCUUCCACUGAAGUAAGGAGGUAUCAUCAACCAUUCCACUGGGAGUCUCAAGCAGGAAACCCUGGGAGUGAAUCAGGAGAUAGAGGCCUUGCACUGUGAGACAUAAUUAUAGGAGCCGAGCAGGAAACAGUGCACUUUGAGGGAAGUCAUCAGCUGGGAGUCUGGAGCUCAAAACCUUCAUCUUGAUAGAAUCAAGAGGCCUUCCAUUGGGAGUCAGUCAGGAAGAGGAGAUAUUCCACUUGGAUUCAAGAUCACCAAUACUUCCUCUUGGAAGACAGACCUUCCUUUCAGGGUCAAGACCUAGCCUUCCACUGGCAUUCUGGAGUAGGAAACCUUACUCUUUAGAGUCAAGAGACUUCACUGAAGUCAGUCAGGAACAGGAAACAUUCCACUCAAGAUCAGCAAGCAAUUACCUUCAUCUUGGAGUCAAAAGUCAAAAGACACUCACAACUUCUACUUGCCACCAAGAGGAAGAAAACAGUCACGUUGAAGGAGAUAGAAAUCUUUGUGAAGUCAAGACAAAAAUCUUCCACUGGGAAUGAGAAACCGGAAACAACACCUGGAUAUAGAGUCAGCUAGUGUGUCUCUACCUAGAGUUCCAGGCAGUUAGGAUCAGCAAGUAUUCCCUAGGGGUCUGAACGCUGGUCUCCAAGUCAAAAGACACACCUAUCUGAAGUCAGGAGUAGUUAAUAAUCCAGUUGGAUUCCAGAAACAUAAGCCUUCAAUACUCAGGAGACAUGGGUCUGUUCACCUGUUCUUAGCAAGCAAGUAUUUCUCUUUAGUAAAAGCAUGCAUUCAGGGAAUCCUGUGUCACUAGAGAUCCAACUAUUAUCCUCUGCUUGUUGAGAAAAUGGUUGUCUUUCAGGAAAUGAACCCCCCCCCCAAAUUGAAAUAGUUUUAGAAAGAAGUUUAUUAAGUCAUUUGGGUGAGAGGGAAUGAGGGGAGAAAGAGAGGCAGACAGAAGGGAUUGCUGUUUUUGGUGAGUUUUGGUGAGGUUACAUUAUAGAGUUCAGAGAUGGCUGAAAGACCAUUUGCCUAAAUGGCCUAACUUAGGCAAGAGAAGGGUGGUUUGAAAUGUAUGUAUAUUAGCAGUUAGGUCGAUCUAUUUUGGGGAACCCAAAACAAGACCUGAGGGGACUCAAAACUAGCACCUAGUGGAAUCUAAGCAUUCCUUACUUACCUGAGGUUAGCUUGACCUAGGAGUAAACUUUCUGGGUUAGUAAAUCUUUUAGACACUAAGGCACUUUUUGAUGCUUCUGCUUAUUAGAGAUGUUUUUAACUGAUUAGCCCCCAGUAGGCAGUAGGUAGUGUCCUAGAGAGGAGUAGUUUGAGAUAUCUGCCAGCAGGUUGUUGGGUUGCUAGAUGAUCCAUGAAUGGAUUUAGUAGGGUUCAAAUCUAGCCAUAGAUAUAGAUGUCUGUGUGACCUGGACAAGUCUUUUAACCCUAUUUUCUUCAGUUUCCUCAUCUGUCAAACAAGUCUUUGCCAAGAAAACACCCAGUGGGGUCACAAGGAGUCAGGCAUGACUGAAGACAACUUGAACAUCCUUAACAAUAGGUAAGGUCAUCUAUGAUGGGAAACUUCAAACACAAGCAGACCCAAAACAAACCUGAGGGGGCCCAAAGGAAGCACUGGGUGAGAUCUAUGCACUCUUUACACAAAUCUUCCCUGUGGCCUCUCUGAAGCCAGCCUGAUCAGUAAGGUUUUUGGAUCAAACACUGUUUUAGCUCCAUAAGGAUAGGUUUUUUUUUUAAAUAAAUGAUAAUCAUGAUUCCUUGGUACAUAGGGGGAAAAAUGAUUUCUCUUGGUACCUGGAGAAAAAAAUGAAGAUUCUUCAUUGUCCCUUGGGAGGAAGAAGACUCCUUAGUGACUUGGAAGAGGGGAAAAAAGAUUCUCCUGGUUCCUGGAAGGAAAAAAGAUUAUUCUUGUGUAGAGGAAGAAGAUUCUUGAGACCUCCUAGUGCCUGUAGAAAAUAAAAUUCCUCUAGAUGACAGGAAGGAAAAAAAAAUUCCUUUUUAGUGCCUGGAAUAUUGGGGGGGGGAAGAUUUUCCCCUAUUUAUUGCGUGUCAUUUUUUAAAGAUUUUUUUUAAAGAUUUUUUUCAAUGCCUGGAGAACAAAAUGAUUCCUUUUGGUGUUUGGUGCCUGGAGCGGGAAAAAAAGAGAUCCCUCCUUGUCCCUGGAUAAGAACUCCUGGUCUCUGGAAGGAACAAAGGAUUCCUCUUGCCUUUUGAUGUCUGGUGAAUAAAUAUUCUUUGGUACCUUAAGGAAAAAAAUAUUCCCAAUUUAAUUCUGUAGAAUUUUUAAAAUUUCCUGAUGCCUAGAGAACAAAAUGAUUCCUUUUUGUGCUUGGAGUGGGAAAAAAAAAGAUCCCUCCUUGUUCCUGGAUAAGAUUCUCCUGGUCCCUGGAAAGGGGAAAAGAAAGAUUCCUCCCAGUGCCUGGAGAACAAAAUGGUUUCUUUUGGUACCUGGAUGGUCCUUAUGUUCCUGGAUAUGAAAAAAAGACUCUUCAUUCCUGGUCCUUGGAAGGAACAAAGGAUUUCUCUUGGCAUCUGGAGAAAAUUAGGAAGCAUUCCUUUUGAUACCUGGAGAAUAAAAAAGCAUUCCUUUUGAUACCUGGUGCCUGGAGUGAAAAAGAUUCCUUGUUCCUGGAAGAUUCCUCUCCUGGUCCCUGGAAGGAAAAAAGGAUUCCUCUUGGCACCUGGAUAAAAUUUUUUUGUGCCAAGAGGAAAAAAGAUACAUCUUGGUGCCUUGAGGGAAAAAAAAAUGAUUGCUCCCAAUUUGUUGCUGGAGAACAAAAUGAUUCCUUUUGGUACUUGGAGGAUCCUUCUGUUCCUGGAUAUGAGAAGAAAGACUCCUUUUCAUUCCUGGAUUAAAAAAAAAAGAUUCCUCCUGGUCCAUGGAAGGGAAAAAAAGGAUUCCUCUUGGCACCUGGAAAAAUUAAAAAGCAUUCCUUUUGAUACUUGGAGAAUAAAAAGUAUUCCUUUUGGUGCUUGAAGUGAGGGAAAAAAAGAUCACUCCUUGUUCCUGGAUAAGAUUCUCCUGGUCCCUGGAAAGGGAAAAAAAGAUUCCUCCCAAUGCCUGGAGAACAAAAUGGUUCCUUUUUGUACCUGGAGGAUCAUUCUGUUCCUGGAUAUGAAAAAAAGACUCUUCAUUCCUGGAUUAAUAAAAAGAUUCCUCCUGGUCCUUGGAAGGAACAAAGGAUUCUCUUCGCACCUGGAGAAAAUGAAAAAGCAUUCCUUUUGGUACCUGGAGAAUAAAAAGUAUUCCUCUUGGUGCCUAGAGGGGAAAAAGAUUCAUCUUUAUCCCUCCAGGUUCCUGUAGAAUUUAUUAAAAAAAAAUCCCGAUACCUGGAGAUUCCUUUUGGUGCCUGGAGUGAAAAAAAGAUUCCAUGUUCCUGGAAGAUUCCUCUCCUGGUCCCUGGAAGAAAAAAAAAAAGGAUUCCUCUUGGCACCUGGAUAAAAUUUUUUUGUGCCAAGAGGAAAAAGAUACUUCUUGGUGCCUUGAGGAAAAAAAAAAUGAUUGCUCCCAAUUUGUUGCUGGAGAACAAAAUGAUUCCUUUUGGUACUUGGAGGAUCCUUCUGUUCCUGGAUAUGAGAAGAAAGACUCCUUUUCAUUCCUGGAUUAAAAAAAAUAAGAUCCCUCCUGGUCCUUGGAAGGAACAAAGGAUUUCUCUUGGCAUCUGGAGAAAAUUAGAAAGUAUUCCUUUUGAUACCUGGAGAAUAAAAAGUAUUCCUUUUGGUGCCUAGAGGGAGGAAAAUAUUCAUCUUAUUCCUCCAGGUUCCUGUAGAAUUAAAAACAAUUCCUGAUGCCUGGAGAUUCCUUUUGGUGCCUGGAGUGAAAAAAAGAUUCCUUGUUCCUGGAAGAUUCCUCUCCUGGUCCCUGGAAGGAAAAAAAAGGAUUCCUCUUGGCACCUGGAUAAAAUUUUUUUGUGCCAAAAGGAAAACAUACUUCUUGGUGCCUUGAGGAAAAAAAAAUGAUUGCUCCCAAUUUGUUGCUGGAGAACAAAAUGAUUCCUUUUGGUACUUGGGAGGAUCCUUCUGUUCCUGGAUAUGAGAAGAAAGACUCCUUUUCAUUCCUGGAUUAAAAAAAAAAGAUUCCUCUUGGCACCUGGAAAAAAUUAAAAAGCAUUCCUUUUGAUACCCAGAGAAUAAAAAGUGUUCCUUUUUGGUGCCUAGAAUGAAAAAAGAUUCUUGGUGUCUUGAGGAAAAAUGAUUCUUCAUGGUGCCUGUAGAAAAUAAAAAGUCCUCUUGAUGCCUGGAGGAAAAAGGAUUCCUUUUGGUUUCUAGAGGAGGGAAGAAGAUUCUUUUGGUUUCUGAAAUUUGAAAGCAUUCCUUUUGGUACCUGUAGUAAAAAGAACUUGGUUGCCUGGCUUAAAAAAAAUUCACCUUGGUACCUAAAGAAAAAAAAAAGAUUCCUCUUAGGGCAUCAAAGGGAUGUAGGUGGGACAAAUUCUUCUUGGUGCCUGGAGAUCCCUCUGUGUCUACAGAAGACUGCAUUCCAAGUUCCAGGAGACUCAAGAAUUCUCAGCAGUCCAAGGAGAUGUAAAAAUUGUCCUAUACCUAGUGAAGUAAGUAGUCAUCCAGAGGGAGAUAUUACCCUAUGUCUAAAGACUCCUCUUGAUUCUAAGGAUUCCUCUUGAUACCUGAGUGAGAAAAGGGAAACAAAAAGACUCCUUUUGGUGCCUAGAGGAAAAACAAGGAUUCUUCUGGUUUCCUGCAGGAAGAAAAGUAUUCUUCUUGAUGUCUAGGGGGGGUGGGGUGGAUUUCCUUUGGCACCUGGAAGGAAAAACAUUUUUGUAGGGGGAAAAAAGGAUUCCUUCUGGUGCCUGGAGAAAAAUUUCUCCAUUUCUCUUGGUGCUUAGAGAAAAAUUAUUCCUCUUGGUGUCCAAAAAAGAAAGGAUUUCUUUUGGAAAGAAAGAAAAAUACAGAUUUCUCUUGAAUCCUGGAGGAAAAAAGGAUUUCUCUUGGUACAUGGAGAGACAAGUAUUGCCCUAUCUCUGGAGAUCCUCUGUAUGUCUACAGAAACACAUUAUUUUUAGUUCCUGGAGUCUCAAGGAUUUUCAGUAGUCCAUGGAUAUGUCAGUAUUGUGACCUAGUGAAGUCUUAUAAAUCUUAUGUUAUCCUGUGUCUAGGAGGAAAAGGAUUCCUCUUGUUGUUUGGAAAAUUAAAGAAAUGAUUCCUCUGGGUGCUUGGAAGGAAAAAAAGGAUUUCUCUUGGUCACUGGAGGAAGGAAAAGAAAUUCUUCUUGGCUUCCUCUUGGUGCCUGGUGGAAGGAAAAAAAUAUAUUCUUUUUUGGUGCCUCAAGGGGGAAAAUUUUUCUUGGUGCUCCAUGUGUGCAGAUCCCUUUGUGUCUACAGAAUUACCCUUAGUUUCUGGAGACUCUUUAACUGCCAUGGAGAUGUAAAUAUGAAGUAAAAAGUAUUCUGUUUUCUCCAAAGGAAGAGAUUAUUCUGUGCCUGGAAACAUUAAUUCCUCUUGAUGUCAAAAGAUCCAAAUCUUGCCUUCUGCUGAAAUGAGCAGAGUCUCUUGGUCCUUGGAGAUGGAAUCAUUCAACUAUUCCUCUUGAUGCCACAUGAUGCCUAUAUUUCCUCUUGAUGCAACAAAACCUCCCUUGAUGCCAAGAGAUGCCUUUGAUGCUUUGAGAUAAUUUCAAUAAUAAUCAGUCAAGUAUUUCUCUUGGUGAAGAAGAUAUGCCAAUGAUUUUCUGGAGAAUCAAAUAUUCUACUUUAGUAGAGGCAAAAAGCUUUCUUGCUUUCUGAAAUUUCCCUUGUACGCAUUCUACUUGGUGUUCCAGAAAUGGAAACAUUCUAGGAAAUUUCAGCAUUUCUCUUGAUGCAAGUAUUUUUUGAAGAAUCAAUAUGGGAGGCACAGAUGUCUGGAGAGACAAGCAUUCUGCUUGAUGUACAGAAAUACAAGUAUUCUAGGAAAUUCCAGUAUUUCUUUCAAUGGAAGUAUUUUAAGUAUUUACUCUGAAUAAUCAGAUUCUGCUGUGACCUUGUCACAGGUCUGGAGAGGCAAAAAAAAUCUAUCUUUUGGAGAGGCAAGCAUUCCACUUAAGUGUCCAGAAAUGCAAAUAUUCUAGGCAUUUAUUCUCGAUGCAAGUACUUCAAUGAUUUUGUAGAGAAAUCAGAUGGAAGAUCUGAUCAUGCAGUCACAGGUCUGACCUCAAAGGGUGAGCAUUUCACUUCAUGUACAAUAAAAAAAACAAACACACUAUGAAAUUACAUUAUUUCCCUUGAUGCAAGGAAAUUUCUGGAGAACAAACAUUCCAUUCAGUUUGAGAGGUAAAAACUCCCCUUGCCUUUUGGAGAGGUAAUCAUUCUACUUGGAGUCCAGAAAUACAAAGGACAUUCCAAUGUUUCUCUUGAUGCAAAUAAUCCAAUGAUUUUCUGCAUAAUGAAAUUUUCCACAGAGGCAAAAAGUUUCCUGACUUUUAGAGAAGCAAACAUUCCACUUGGUGUCUGGAAAUACAACUAUUUUAUCAAACCCCAGUAUUCCUCUAGGUGCAAGUAUCCCAAGCAUUUUCUGGAGAAUGAAAUAUUCUACUUGCUUUAUGGUAGUCACAGGUAUUUUGGAGAGGCAAAAAGUCUUUUAGGGGGGAAGACAAGGAAUCCACUUGGUAUCCAGAAAUGUAAAUACUCUAGUAGGAGGUCCUAGUAUUUCUCUUGAUGCAAGUAAUCCAAUGAUUUUCUGGAGGACAAAAUGGAGGACUUCUUUUAUAGGAAUUUAGGCAUCUGGAAAAGCAAAGUCUCCUGACUUUUAGAGAAGCUGGAAAUAAAAUCAUCUAGGAAAUCCCAGUAUUUCCCAAGUACAAGUAUUCAUUUAAUGGAGAAUCAAAAUAGUCUACUUGUUUUAUGGGAGGCACAGGCAUUCCAGAGAAGUAUUCAACCUGUUCUCUAGGAAAUUUCAAUAUUCCAAUCACUUUCUGGAGUUCUAUCUUUUGGAGAAUGAAGUAUUCUACUUAUUUUAAGGGCUUCACUAUUGUCUGAAGCAAAACUCAAUAACUUCUCCAUAACUUCUUGAAAGGCAUCACGUCAAGGAAUGGAAAGCUAAUUCACAUCCAGACAAUUUCACAUCCAGAGAAGAAAAUAUUUUGCCUGAUUUUUCCUCUGCUUUGUUCAUGGGUCACAAUUUUCCUCCCCUACUCACUUUCUGGAAUUUUUUUUUCUGGAAUUAGUUUCUGGAUUUUCCCUCUCUUCACUCAGCUUGGUUUCUGAAGAAUUAAGUAUUGAAUUUUUCCUGCCUAUUUUACGAAGUCUACUAUUGAGAUUCUUGUUUUUGGUUUCUGGAAGAUAUGGUUUUUUGUUUUGGCCUUCCAGAACCUAAAAUUUUGUCCUUCGUUUCUAGAAUUUUUUCCAAGUGUGGUUUUGGGAAUCUACAAUUUUCCCCCUUUGCUUGGUUUCUGGAAUAUUAAUUUUUUCCUUGCCGGGUUUUUGAUAGCUACAAAGUACCUUGUACUAUGCUUCUCACAUGGAUUCUACAUAAUUUUAUUCUUUGAAUUUGGAAAUAUAAUUGUACCUCCAUCUCCAUAUUUAAUUUCAUGUUUUUCUCAUAUUCAGUCCCUAGAAUAUUUUUCCUACUCAAUUUCUGGAAUCUACAUUUUCCCCACCUGUGCUUCGUUUUUGCAGUAUUUUUCCUUUGCUUGGCUUCUUGAAUAUUUUUACCAUUUGCUUUCUUGAAUUUUUAACUUUUUUUCCUUCUACACUUGGAUUAUGGAAUUUGGACCUACCCUCCCCCCAUUUGUUUUUUAUAUGCUAUAUGGUGGCAUUAAGUAUAGAUUCUCCAUUUUGUUUUGGUGAGUAUUAAUUGGUAAGUAUUCUUUUUGUGGCUAUGGUAAGUGCCACUUUUUCUCUAGGUAUUGCUCACAACGUUUUUAUGUGCCUUCUGGGACAUGCCAGUUUUGUGGAAUACAGAUCAUUUCGCUGCUGAGAUACCCAACCCAUCCUCCUUGGUUUUGUGGAAUACAGUUUCUUUUUUUCCCCCCAAAAAAUUUGGCAACUAGAUACCCUCUUCAUUUGUAAACUCAGCUCAGAGAUUCAAAACAUUCCCUUGUUUUCUGUGGAAUACAAGCUUUCCUAAAACGUGGUAACUGGAACUUCUAUUCCUUCCCCCAUGGUUUCUGGAAUAUAUAUGGGUUUUUUUAAAUUGCCUGAGAGAACCUAUCCCCUUAUUCAAUGGAAUGCAAAUUUUUAAAAGUUCAACAACUGGAAGAUAUAAUUGCCUUUAUCUGUAUAAUGCAAUUAAAAACAAAACAAUUGAACAAGAGAUUCAAAUCAGUUCCCCUUUUUCUAUGGAAUACAAAUUUUUUCUGUUUCACAUCAGGGGAAUCCAGUCAUACCUCUUGAUCUGGGUAAAACAAAUGUUUUACAUUUGGCAUCUGGGAGUCAAUCAUCUCUUUGAUCCGUGGAAUACAAUUUUUAAAACUUGCCAGUAAAUUUAAUCAUACCCCUUUGUGCAAUAAAAGUUUUUGGUUUUUGAUUCAGCACCUGAGAGAUCAAAGCAUCUUCUUGCAUUUGCGGGAUACAAGUGGCUUUUUUAUUCAUAAAAAUUGGCAGCUGAGAGAUCCAGUGAUUCUCCUGAUUUGCAGAAUACAAAAAAUUUAAAAAUUGGCAGCCCCUCUGAGAUCAACUAAUUUGCCUUGUGUUUUUUUUGUUUUGUUUUUUCCUAUUUGGCACCUGCAAGAGCUCCCUUAGUUUGUUUUGUUUUUUUGUCACUUGGCAGCUAGGAAAUCCAGUCAUCCUCAUUCAUCUGUAAAUACAAAAUUUUAACAUUUGGCAGCUGGGAGAUCUCCUUUUGUGGAAUUAAGGGGUUGGGUUUUUUGUUAUUGUUGAUGAUGGUGGUUUUUUUUUUGUUAUUUUUUGGUAAAUGGCAGAUAGGAGAUCCAAUCAUCCUCUGAUUUAUUGAAUAUAGAAUUAAAAAUUUUGACACCUGGAAGAUAUCAUCGUUCCCUUUUUGUGAAAUACAAGUGUUGGGUUAAAAAUGAAAUUGGUGGCCAGGAGAUCUAGCCAUACUCCCCAAUUUUGUGGAAUAAAAUUUUUUUAAAUCUGUCAAGUUGGAGAUCUCAUCGUUCCCCUUUUUGUGGAAUACAAGUGUUGAGUUUUUUUUUUUUAUUGGCACCUAGGAGAUAUAACCAUUCUUCAUUUAUGGAAGAAAAAGUAAAAUUUGGCAGCUGGGAGAUCUCAUCCCCCUUCAUAUGUGGAAUACAAGUUUUUGGGUUUUUUUCCCACUUGGGCAGCUGGGAAACGAUUCCCCUUCAUGUGUGGAACACAAAUGUUUAUUUUCUUAAUUGGCACUUGGGCGAUCCAAUCAUCUUACUUGAUUUGUGGAAUACAAAAUUUUAAAAUUUGUCAACUGGAAGACCUAAUCAUCUCCCUUUAUUUUGUGGAAUACAAGUUUUGGUUGUUUUAUAUUUGGCAGCUGGGAGAUUUGUUUCUUCCCCAUUUAUUUUUGAAAUAUAAUUUAAAAUAUUUUGCAUCUGGUUGAUAUAAUCAUCUUGGUUUAUGGAAUAAAGUGUUAUUUUUUAAAUUCAUUUUUCAUCUGAGACAUCUAGUCAUCUGGUGUUUUGUGGAAUACAAGGUUUUUUUCAUUGGCAUCUGCAAGAUCUAAGAAUCUAAUUGUUUUGAGGAAUACAAGGUGGUUUUAAUUUUAAUUCUGCAUCUGGGAGAUCUAAACACCUUCCUUAUUAAUGUGCAAUAUAAGGUUUUUAGAAUUUGCUCCUGUUUUCUGGAUGUUGCUGGUUUGUGUUGUCUUUUGGUUGGUUUUGUUGGUUUGGCAGCUAGUGUUUUUCUACUUGGUUGUUAGGCUUUUAGAAUAAGUUUUUACAUUGGCAGCUGGGAGAAUAUUCUUGGUUUAUGAAAUACAAGGUUUUAAAAGCUCAGUGGCUGAUCCUCCCAUCUUUGUUUGUUAUACUAACGUUUACAAUUUAGCUGCUUGGGAGAUCCAAUGGUCUUUAUGCUGUUUAGGCUGUUUUUUUUUUUUGGGCAAAGCAUUGGUCAAAUGACCCUCUUGGAUUAUUAUAAUGCAAUAUUAUUGUUGGGAGAGCCAGUUGAUUUCCCUUGGUUUAUGUAAGUAAUAUAUAAGUAAUUGUUGCUUUAUUGGAUCUUUUUAUCUCUUUAUUAGGAGAUCUAUUUGAUCACCUUGGAUUGUAGCAUACCAGUUAUUUUAAUUGGCAGCUGUGAGACCUAAUUAACCUUCAUUUAUGCAAUGAGGUUGCUUUAAUUGGCAGCAGGUCUAAUCAGUAUUCUUGGAUUAUGUAAUAAAAGUUUUAAUUGGCAGUUGAGGUCCAAUUGAACACUAUUCACCUAUGCAGUACAAAUGGUUGUUUUAGUUGGCACCUGGGAGAUCCAGUUGAUUCUCUUGCUUUAGGCAGUACACACAAGUUGUUUAAAUUGGCAGCUUGGAGUCGAUUCCCUUGGCCUAGGCUUAUAUACAUAGCCUUUUACUGGUAGCCGGAAUAUCUAAUCAAUCCCCUUGGUUUAUGCAAUACUUGUGAUACAAGUUAUUUUAAUUGGUUGUCCUGAGGUUUUCUCCUGUGGUUUGUGCAAUGCAACUUGUUGCUCCUUUAAUUGGCCAUUGGGACAUCUAAUCAAAGGAUUCUGUUAUACAAGUUUCAUUUGCAACUGGAUGAUCCUUACUUCGUGCAAUAAAAAGUGUUUUCUUUUUCUUUUGGCAGUCAGUAGGUUCAUUCAUUCGUUCCCCUUGGUUUGUGUGAUAGAAAUAUUCUUUAGAAUAUUUGGUUGGGAAAUCCAGUUUUCCCCUUUGGUAUAUGGAAUAUGAGUUUGUUUAAAUUUGUUUGGAAGAUCCAUCUUAGUGGUGUUUGAGAUAAUCGCCCAUUGUGGAAUGUUAAUGGUUUGUGGAAUAUGUUAUUUUCUUUGACAGCUGGGAGAUAAUCAUCAACUCACUUAAUGGAAUACAAAUUCUUAUCCUUGUGGAAUACAAAUUUUUCUUUGGCACCCAGGAGAUCCAAUCAUCUUCCUUGCUUUAUGGAAUACAAGUUCUCCUUGUGGAAUUAAUUUUUUUUGGUAGCUGGAAGAUAUUGACUCCCCUUGGUUUACUUGGUGGCUGGUUUUUUGUUUUUUUCAUUGCUUUUGUUUUCUAUUUUUUGUUUUUUCCUGGAGUGCCUGGAAGAUCUCAUCCUUGGUUUGGAAUACAAAAUAUUGCUCCUUUUCAUUUGUGGAAUACAAGGUCUUUGGAGGGUUUGCUUCAUCCUAGAAGAUAUCAUCAUCAUCCUUGGUUUGUGGAAUACAAAAUUAUUAUUCCUUUGGAAUAAAAGGUCUUUGGGGGGUUUGUUUGCUGCUUGGAAGAUCUCAUCCUUGGUUUGGAAUACAAAAUUUACCAUUUUUUUGUGGAAUACAAAUUUUUUUGGGGGCUUGGAAGAUAUCAUCCAUCUUUGGUUUGGAAUACAAAUUCUGGAAUACAAGUUUUUUUUGGUUUUUAUUUUUGGUUCUUUUUUUGGUGUGUGUUUGGAAGAUUUCAUCAUCCAUUCUCCUUGGUUUGUGGAAUACAAAAUUUUCAUUUGUGGAAUACAAAGUAUGGUUUUUUUCUUUUUGGUUUUUUUUUUCCUUCCCUAGUGCAUGGAAGAUGGAAGAUCAUCCUCAGUGGUUUGGAAUACAAAAUUUGUCUUUGCUCAUUUAUGGAAUAUAAGGGCCUUUUUUUUUUUGGCUUUGAAUAUCUGCUACUUGUUUUGGAAUACAAAAUUUGUUCAUUUGUGGAAUACAAAUUUUUGGGCUUUUAUUUUUUGGUGCUUAGAAGAUCUCAUCCCCUUUCAUUUGGAAUACAAAAUUUGUCAUUCUCCAUUUGUGGAAUACAAGUUGUGGGCUUUUUUUGUUUGUUUUUUGUGUUUUUUUUUUUGUUUUGUGUUUGGUUUUUCCUGGAAGAUCUAAACAUCUUUGGUCUGUGGAAUACAAUUUUUUUUUUAUGAUUGGUAUUGUAAGUGGUAUUGUAAUACCACUUACAAAUGUUGUAAGUGGUAUUGGUGUUGGUAAGUGGAAACAUUCCACUUAGGUAGGUACCAAUUUUUCUCAUUUCCCAAAUAUAUUUGAAAUAUAUAAAUAUUCUAAAAGCAAUACUACAAUUCUCUGCUUAGGGGCAACUCUGGGAAAUUCUGCAUAAGGGGCAUGACUCCCCAUCCUCUUAAAUUAAGCUGAACAUAACAUUACUGGAUUUGGAAUUGAGGCCCUAUAUAGCCUGUCACAUGAAAGGAAUGCUAUGUCUACAUGACAGCUAGCAUCCACUUAAGAGGAACUGUAUUGCAAAGUAAGAGGGGAGAAAUUAUAUUUCUAGUACAUGACUUAUUAUUAGGUGGAAUUAAGAUGUCCUUGGUUUGGUCCUUUUCUCUCUGGGCCUCUAUUUACUACUUUUUAACAUGAGGAGUUGAGAUUCAGGUGAUCUUUGAGGUCCCUUAUCUCUGAUACUUCAAAAUUUUAUGAAAAUUAAUAAGCAUUCAGCAUGUUCAAAUAGCCUUUCCCAGCUUUCACGAUGACUAUGAAGUCACAUGUAGAAUUUUGUUUUCCAGGUGUUGUGCAAGCCCUGCAUUCAAGGAGCCCUCCUGGUCAUCUGUUGGAUCUUCUCAUUGUGGAUUUCUGGACCAGAAUCAUAUACUUGGAAGGCCACAUACCAGGCCACUACCCAGAUCCAUUGCUGAGGAGACAUACCUGCCUACCAGAGAUCCCCCCCGGGGCCUGCGCUGGAUGCCAAGAAGAGAAACCAACACCCCCCCUACCCCCCCCUCCCCGCCCCAAUCCUUUGUUAAAGUUCCCUAGACUGUUAACUUCUAUUUUCCCUUGGAGUUUUGACCAAUUUGUUUUGUCACCCCUACUUAUGUACUCCCUUGUCCCUUCACCCCAGCCACUUUUGAUGCCCUUUUCCCUGAGAUCAUGUACCCUAAAUAAACUUUGUUUUUAAAAGAAAAAAAAAAAAAAAAAAAAAAA